UGCAAGUUUCAGGGAAGGUGAGAUUCCUUACUGGCGGUAACGGCCGGACCGGCGCAUAACGAUCCGUGCCGGAGCCCGCGCGCCGAGAAUACGGCUGAUUUGGUGAGAUUCCAAGGCCAACGGUUACAGUCCGGAUGAAAGAAACGGAGC
rnacentral:ncRNA from 2 species